CCAUACGAUCACCAAAGUUAAGCAACGUCGAGCCUGCCCAGUAUCGAGAUGGGUGACUCCUUGGGAAUAUCAGGUGCUGUAA